CAUGGGUAGCAAACAGGAUUUGGUACCCUGGUAGUCCAUGCUAUAAACUAUGAAUAUUAAAUAUUAAAACAUUUUUUUUUUUAAUAUUAAAAGUUAACACGUUAAAUAUUUCGCCUGGGGAGUAAAACCGCAAGGUUGAAACUCAAAGGAAUUGACGGGAGCUUAUACUUACGGUGGAGCAUGUGGUUUAAUCCGAUAGUCCGCGUGAAAUCUUACCAAUUUUUGACAAAUUAUAUGUUUUAAAAUAUAUUACAGGUGUUGCAUGGCCGUCGUCAGCUUAUGUUUUGAAAUUUCUGAUAUAAGUAUAACCCUUAUUUUAAUUUGCUAAUAUUUAAAAGAAUUAUUAUUUUAAAAUAAUUUAUUAAAUAAGAACUAUUAAAUUUAACAAAAUUAUUUUUGUUAAAAAGGAUGAAGAUAGGUCGUUAUGACCCUCAUAAAUU
rnacentral:rRNA from 1 species